rnacentral:rRNA from 1 species
CCUACGGGAGGCAGCAGUGGGGAAUAUUGCGCAAUGGGCGAAAGCCUGACGCAGCGACGCCGCGUGAGGGAUGAAGGUCUUCGGAUCGUAAACCUCUGUCAGCAGGGAAGAACGGUCACUGUGCUAAUCAGCAGUGAAUUGACGGUACCUGCAAAGGAAGCACCGGCUAACUCCGUGCCAGCAGCCGCGGUAACACGGAGGGUGCGAGCGUUAAUCGGAAUUACUGGGCGUAAAGCGCUCGUAGGCGGUAUGUCAAGUCAAGGGUGAAAUCCCCGCGCUCAACGUGGGAACUGCCUUUGAAACUGGCAAACUGGGGUGUGUGAGAGGAUAGUGGAAUUCCAGGUGUAGGAGUGAAAUCCGUAGAUAUCUGGAGGAACAUCAGUGGCGAAGGCGACUAUCUGGCACAUAACUGACGCUGAGGAGCGAAAGCGUGGGUAGCAAACAGGAUUAGAUACCCGUGUAGUC